GCUGGAAAGGCGCUGGCGGUGGCCAGAGCUGCGGGGGUCACAGCCGUUGCCCAAAUAACAGACGUCAACGAACUGAAGAAACUGAUUGUAGAGCUUGAGAAGGAGGUUACAGAGCUGAAGAGGUGAGAUUGAGGUGAAGAGAGAAGCAAAUGUGGAGUGUCGUAUUGAGGAGAGGCAGGAGCAGCAGCAUGGCCUGCCGGUCCAGAUGAGGGAGCAGUGUGGGGAGUACGAGGGGCUGCUGGGUCAGACGAUCGCCCCGGACAUCGAGAUCGCUGCCUACAGAGGACCUGAGCCCUAGGACCAUGCCUCAGGACUACCUGGCAUAAUGAC